GGGUUAAGUCCCGCAACGAGCGCAACCCUUAUCCCCAGUUGCCAUCAGGUAAAGCUGGGAACUCUGGGGAGACUGCCGGUGAUAAACCGGAGGAAGGCGGGGAUGACGUCAAGUCCUCAUGGCCCUUACAUCCCGGGCUACACACGUGCUACAAUGGCAGGUACAGAGGGCUGCGAAGCCGCGAGGUGGAGCGAAUCCCAGAAAACCUGUCUCAGUCCGGAUUGAAGUCUGCAACUCGACUUCAUGAAGGCGGAAUCGCUAGUAACCGCGAAUCAGCAGGUCGCGGUGAAUACGUUCCCGGGCCUU
rnacentral:rRNA from 1 species